rnacentral:rRNA from 1 species
ACUUCACCCCAGUCAUGAACCACACCGUGGUCAUCGCCAUCCCAAAGGUUAAGCUAAUGACUUCUGGUGCAGCCCACUCCCAUGGUGUGACGGGCGGUGUGUACAAGGCCCGGGAACGUAUUCACCGUGGCAUUCUGAUCCACGAUUACUAGCGAUUCCAACUUCACGGAGUCGAGUUGCAGACUCCGAUCCGGACUACGACAAACUUUAUGAGAUUCGCAUACCCUCGCAGGUUAGCAACCCUUUGUAUUUGCCAUUGUAGCACGUGUGUAGCCCAUCCCGUAAGGGCCAUGAUGACUUGACGUCGUCCCCACCUUCCUCCGGUUUAUCACCGGCAGUCUCCCUAGAGUUCCCACCAUUACGUGCUGGCAACUAAGGAUAAGGGUUGCGCUCGUUGCGGGACUUAACCCAACAUUUCACAACACGAGCUGACGACAGCCAUGCAGCACCUGUCUCAGAGCUCCCGAAGGCACUCUACUAUCUCUAACAGAUUCUCUGGAUGUCAAGGGAUGGUAAGGUUCUUCGCGUUGCAUCGAAUUAAACCACAUGCUCCACCGCUUGUGCGGGCCCCCGUCAAUUCAUUUGAGUUUUAACCUUGCGGCCGGUACU